UUGCAGCACACGUUUCAAAAAAAGCAUGUGAUCAAAAGAAGCAUCGGUCAUCAUUGAUCACGUGGUAAUCUUACUUUGAAACAAGCAUCAGUACAUUAUAUCGGAUCAGUAGUUCUUUGAAAACUGCAUCGGAGCUCCGGUAUCUAUCUAUCAAGCGUCCCUUCACGAGCUAGUGUUGACAUUCACUGACCGGCUACUACAGCCUGGGAUUGUCUUCUCCGAGACGAAGCCGUGACAACCGAGAGGCUUGGUCGUGCGUUGAGAAUGGAAAAGCACAAAGUGCUGGAUCAACUCCUGGAGGAGCUGCAGCGCUUCCUCCUGAUCCUGGAUCGGGAAAACCUGAGUGGGAAUGCCACUGUGCAGAAAGGCAUGCUGUCUGACUUGCUGCAGUCCUACAGAUGCUCCAACGGUGGUGGUGGUGGUGGUGAUGAGGAGUACAUCUACAUGAACAAAGUCAUUGUGACUGGGCAGGGUCAGGACAAAGCUGACAGAGACAACACACCAGAUGCCUUGGCCAAUGGGAGAGCAGGAAAACAUGUCCCUGCCCCACAGAAGAGUCUUCCAGACUUGCCACCACCUAGAACAGUUAUUGUAGGGAGAGAGCCCUUCCUCCAGCCCUCGGCCCCGGCCUGCUUGGAGUUUCAGGAGGGAUAUUACGAGGAGGCCCAGCCCUAUGACUCAGCCAUGAACGAUGACGGCGAGGCAGUGAGCAGCUCCUAUGAGUCCUACGAUGAGGAGGAAGUGACCAAGGGGAAGUCGUCAUUGUCAGCGCAGCACCAGUGGCCGUCCACCGAGGCGUCCAUCGAGCUGAUGAAGGACGUGCGCAUCUGCGCCUUCCUCUGGAGGAAGAAGUGGCUGGGCCAGUGGGCCAAGCAGCUGUGUGUCAUUCGAGAACAUCGCUUCCUGUGCUACAAGAGCUCUAAGGAGCAGAUGCCGCUGUUGGACGUGAGCCUGCUGGGAUGCAGCGUGGUCUACAAGGAGAAGCAGCCCAAGAGGAAGGAGCACAAGCUGAAAAUCAUCCCCAUGGGAGGAGAGGCCAUCGUUCUGGGCCUGCAGAGCAAGGAGCAGACAGAGCUGUGGCUGAAGGUGAUCCAGGAAAUCAGCCCUAAACCAGCAGAGGGCUCUGAGAUGCAGCACUUUGUGUCCGACUCCUCACGCCUCAUUUGCACUAAGGGGGAGCUCAGUGAGAGGUACUCCGUUACUUCUGAAAGUGGCAGCAGCACAGACAGCCACGCUGAGACCCUUGAAACUAAAGAUGUGAAGAAGAAAUACAGUGCAGGUCUGAAGUUCAGUAACUUAAUGAACAUUGGCAAGAAGAAGACCUCUUCCUUAGACAGUCCGGAGAAAUGUGUCGACACCUCAGGUUACCUCAACGUGCUGGUUAACAGUCAUUGGAGGAGCCACUGGUGUCUGAUAAAAAAUGGGCAGCUGUGGUUUUACCAGGACAAGGGCAAGACUAAAGUGGCCCAGCAGCCUGUGCCUCUGGAGGGAUGCAUGGUCUUGCCAGACCCCAGCCCUGAGCACCUCUACUCCUUCCGGAUCCAGAUGGAUGGGGCACAGCUAGCCACACUAGAGGCCAAGUCGUCAGCUGAUAUGGGUCACUGGCUGGGUCUUCUGCUUUCUCAAACUGGGACUAAGACAGACCCUGAAGAACUCACCUAUGACUAUGUCAACUCUGAGAGGAUCUCCAGCAUAGUCAAUGCAGCCAAGACCUCCUUGUAUCUGAUGCAGGGGAGGUACUCAGAGCCUAGCACCUACAAAGACAGCCUUUCCUCGGCUCCCCAUGGUUCAGAUGACAUUUAUGACGAUGUGGCUUCUAUAGAGGGCGAACUAGAGGAUGCAGAGGAGAGCGAUCUUCUGGAUGAUCAGGAGAGCAGUGGUCAAUGUCGUCAAGACAGCACUGGACCGUGUGGUCAAGAUGGCGAUGUGGUGGUGGUGGACAGUGCAGGGCAGGACGCAGCAGACAGGGUUUACUUGGACCUCAUUCCUGUACGAUCGUUCCUGCACACGUCCUGUGGCAUAGGGUCCCCAAACAAAGAACCCCCCCGCUCUUCACCCGCCCACACUGAGGAGCAGCAGGACCUCCCUAGCCAGGUUGAUUCUAGCAUCAUAUCCGAAUCAGAGUUUCCACCAUCCCACAAUGGAGUGGAACCCACUGCUAACACCAACAGACCUGAGCAGGAGCGCCCCCUGUCUCCCAGCCCUCUACAGCCCUAUGCCCAGGCUCAAAAGACCUCUCUCCUCAGCCAAGACAUCCAGAAAAGGGCCAGUCCAGGCAUACAGCACCCCCAGGCUCCGAGUACAACUACCAUUAACACACAGCCCCCCAAAACCCCUCAGAGUCCUGCAGCUACCACUCUUGCAUUCAGCCUUCCCCCUCACAGUCCCCAACCUCUCAGAGGCCGGAGUGCUAGCAGUGGAGACCAAAGGACCAAAGUCUUAUCCACAGCCACCCCUGGGGCCGUCGAGGUGAAACUGGGGAAGAACAGAACGGAGGCGGACAUGCGGCUCUACACGGAAGAGCGUGACCGGCUGGAGAGAGAGAAGGAAGAGAUACGGAGCAGCCUAAUCAACCUGAAGAAGGAGAGGAGGGAGGCCAAGGAGGAACUCAGCACCUGCCAAGACCCGGCGCAGCAGGCCUCCCUGGAUGCAUGUCUGAAGCAGAAGGAGGAGGCGUGCCGGGAGGCGGAGCAUUGUCGGGUGGAGGUGGAGCUACGACUGAUGGAUGUGAAGGAGAGUCUGAGGAAAGCAGAGGCGGGGCCUUUCGUUCUGGGCACCACAUUGGACAGCAGCCUCCUGGACACACCCAUGGUGUGUAGGUUAACACUGCCUAUAAGAAAUUUGCCCCUGGAUGCUGAUCUUGGGCGAAAGCAGCAUCCAUGGGUCCCCCACAGACUCCCUCUCCCCCCACAAACUAUGGGGACUCCUCUCCUGUCAACUCCGCCACCGCGCUAAAGAAUAGACCCCUGUCAAUCAUGGCAUCCAGCAAAGGCAACGUCCUGCAGAAGGCUAAGGAAUGGGAGAAGAAAUCCACCACCUAGGGGUGAGCAAGACUUUCCCUUUGAUCUCUGAUGACAUUUGAGGUCAUCAUUAUGACCCAUGGCCAGGUCAGGUGCUAUGCUUUGGCUGCACUGGGGGGCUAGGAAGUAAAGGACACCACCCUCACCACCUCCCUGCCCCUACACCUGCCUCUGUCCAACCAGAGAAUAGGACAGAAACUAAUGGCUCCACAGAAAGCCAAUUAGAGACCAGGCACACCUGUCUACUGGAAAACCAAUGCCACUGGACAUUUCUAGAUUUGAAAAACGAUUUAAGUUGUUUUUUUUCCAUAAAGUCACAUUUUCAUAUUGUCACAUUUUUUAAAAAUGUUUAAAGUGGUUUUUUAAUAAUAUACAGUAUUAUUUUUUGAAAUAUGGAGCCACUUUCCUCUUAUACCAGCAUGCCACAGGGGACGACCCCCCUACCAUGUCUACCAUUUGGUACAGGCUGAUAGCCAAGAUGUAAAUACAUAUUACACUGUUCUGUUUACUUUUUUACUUGUAUGCUAGCUAAAACUUGCACUUUUAUUAAAAUAAAAAAACUUAGUACUGACAUAAA